rnacentral:rRNA from 1 species
GUGGUUCCUAGAAAAAAGCCGGUUUAGACCCGUACCAAAACUGACACAGGUGUGCGUGGCGAAUAGCCUCAGGCGCUCGAGAGAACGGUUGUGAAGGAACUAGGCAAAUUGACCCCGUACGUUCGCAAGAAGGGGGCCCUUCGGGGCGCAGAGAAAAGGCACCGGGAACUGUUUAUCAAAAACACAGCACUGUGCGAACUGGCAACAGGAUGUAUACAGUGUGACGCUUGCCCAAUGCCGGAAUGUCACGG